rnacentral:rRNA from 1 species
GACGAACGCUGGCGGCGGGCUUAACACAUGCAAGUCGAACGGAAAGGCCCUGCUUUUGUGGGGUUCUCGAGUGGCGAACGGGUGAGUAACACGUGAGUAACCUGCCCUUGACUUUGGGAUAACUUCAGGAAACUGGGGCUAAUACCGUAUAGGAUCUCCUGCUGCGUGGUGAGGGUUGGAAAGUUUCGGCGGGUGGGGAUGGACUCGCGGCUUAUGGGCUUGUUGGUGGGGUAGUGGCUUACCAAGGCUUAGACUGAUAGCCGGCAUGAGAGCGUGACCGGGCACAUGGGUACUGAGAUACGGAGCAGACUCCAAUGGGAGGCAACAGUGGGGAAUAUGAUCCAGUGGGAGCACGCGUGAUGAAGAAACGCCGCGUUCGGAAAGCCGGCUUUCGGGGUGUAAAACGCUGUAGCUUGUGACGAAGCGGUAGUGACGGUAAUGGGUAAAGAAGCACCGGCUAACUACGUG